rnacentral:rRNA from 1 species
UACGGAGGGAGCUAGCGUUGUUCGGAAUUACUGGGCGUAAAGCGCACGUAGGCGGUUAUUCAAGUCAGAGGUGAAAGCCCGGGGCUCAACCCCGGAACUGCCUUUGAAACUAGAUGACUAGAAUCUUGGAGAGGUCAGUGGAAUUCCGAGUGUAGAGGUGAAAUUCGUAGAUAUUGGGAAGAACACCGGUGGCGAAGGCGGCUCACUGGCUCGUAACUGACGCUCAGGCGCGACAGCGUGGGGAUCGAAACAGG